UACGGAGGGUGCAAACGUUGCUCGGAAUCAUUGGGCGUAAAGCGCACGUAGGCGGUCUUUUAAGUCGGAUGUGAAAGCCCGGGGCUCAACCCCGGAAGUGCAUCGGAAACUGAAAGGCUAGAGUACGGAAGAGGGUCUCGGAAUUCCCGGUGUAGAGGUGAAAUUCGUAGAUAUCGGGAGGAACACCAGUGGCGAAGGCGGAGACCUGGGCCGAUACUGACGCUGAGGAGCGAAAGCGUGGGGAGCGAACAGG
rnacentral:rRNA from 1 species